AACGUAGGAGACAAACGUUAUCCGGAGUUACUGGGCGUAAAGAGCGUGUAGGCGGCCCGGUAAGUCCGCUGUGAAAGUCCAGGGCUCAACCCUGGAAUGCCGGUGGAAACUGUCGGGCUAGAGUCCGGAAGAGGCGAGUGGAAUUCCUGGUGUAGCGGUGAAAUGCGCAGAUAUCAGGAGGAACACCAAUGGCGAAGGCAGCUCGCUGGGACGGUACUGACGCUGAGACGCGAAAGCGUGGGGAGCAAACAGG
rnacentral:rRNA from 1 species